AAUGGAUUCGGGUCGCCCUUGUCAGUUGACUUGCCACAUUCAAUGGAAUGGGUUGGAGGGAGUAGUUCGAACUUUGAAUUCAAACCGUCAGAUUCCCUCAACCUCCAAUAACCUCUCACCAUUUGUCACAAGAUGGCAGAAAAUAAGCAGUUCAGAAAUUUUUCACAAAACUUGUCGCUUGAGUUGUGGCAAAUGUGUUCCUUCUAUUGUGAUUGAGUUCUUGACCAUAGGAGUGCAACAAAUGCAGAAUUUGGAGCAUGGAAUUGCAAGUGGAUUCAACCACGAAAGUGUUGGGAAUUCUCUGUAAGUUCUUAUGACCCGAAAUUAUUUUCAAGCAUACUGCGGAAUCUUACAUUUCUGAUGUACUAUACGUUUCCUUCUUUCCAUUCUUGUCCACUUCUAUGCAUGACUAAGACACGUGUAGUGGGAAGUUCCACGUCAGUUUUCUUCAUCGAUUUAUAUAAACAUUUUUCUCGAAGUAGUGAAACUGAUCACAUAUUUCCUCGUGAUAACUAGGUGACAUAAUUGUAUUUUGGCGUUUUACACCGCCCCAGCGAGACAGAUAUAGACAUGGAGGGAC
rnacentral:lncRNA from 1 species